GUUUCGUAGUGACCUGCGGAGGAUCAUUAUUAAAAGUCAAUGAGUGCACUUAAUUGUGGCUCAGAAACCUUUAUAAAUCUUUUCACCCAUUAACCCAAAGCUGUCUUGUGUUCCCUUAUCUUUGUAUAAGGGUAAUAGCAAUUCAGUAGUACGCAUCAUGGAAAUUGCCUUUAUUGGAAUGUUCAAGUUGCAUUAACCCCCCCUUAUCAGUGACCCCCAUUUUUUUUAUUAACACUAAAAUAAGUUUUAAGAAUGUAAACCCCCUUUAAAUUAAAUAUAACUUUUAACAAUGGAUCUCUUGGCUCUCACAUCGAUGAAGAACACAGUGAAAUGUGAUAAGUAAUGUGAAUUGCAGAAUUCAGUGAAUCAUCGAAUCUUUGAACGCACCUUGCACCUUUUGGUAUUCCAAAAGGUACACCUGUUUGAGUGUCAUGAAACCCUCUCAUUCCAAUUCCUUAUUUGAUUAAGGAAAUGUGUAAUGGAUUUUGAGCGCUGCCGUCAUUGGCUCGCUUUAAAUAUAUAAGUACCUUUAUUGAAUAAAUAAAUGGAGAAAUACUUGGUGUAAUAUUUAUUAUUCAUCAAGGAAUGUGGUUUUAUUACUACAGCCAUUUGAGUUUUCAAUAGAUAGCUUCCUAACCCCAGUUUAUCAAACUUUUAGACCUCAAAUCAGGUGGGAUUACCCGCUGAACUUAAGCAUAUCAAUAAGCGGAGGAAAAGAAACUAACAAGGAUUCCCCUAGUAACGGCGAGUGAAGAGGGAAAAGCCCAAAUUUGUAAUCUGGCUCUUUUAGAGUCCGAGUUGUAAUUUUGAGAACUGUUUUCCGUGCUGGACCGUGUACAAGUCUCCUGA
rnacentral:rRNA from 1 species